rnacentral:rRNA from 1 species
GAUGAACGCUGGCGGCGUGCCUAAUACAUGCAAGUCGAGCGAACAGACGAGGAGCUUGCUCCUCUGACGUUAGCGGCGGACGGGUGAGUAACACGUGGAUAACCUACCUAUAAGACUGGGAUAACUUCGGGAAACCGGAGCUAAUACCGGAUAAUAUAUUGAACCGCAUGGUUCAAUAGUGAAAGACGGUUUUGCUGUCACUUAUCGAUGGAUCCGCGCCGCAUUAGCUAGUUGGUAAGGUAACGGCUUACCAAGGCAACGAUGCGUAGCCGACCUGAGAGGGGGAUCGGCCACACUGGAACGGAGACACGGUCCAGGCUCUUACGGGAGGCAGCAGUAGGGAAUCUUCCGCAAUGGGCGAAAGCCUGACGGAGCAACGCCGCGUGAGUGAUGAAGGUCUUCGGAUCGUAAAACUCUGUUAUUAGGGAAGAACAAAUGUGUAAGUAACUAUGCACGUCUUGACGGUACCUAAUCAGAAAGCCACGGCUAACUACGUG